AUUGAACGCUGGCGGCAGGCUUAACACAUGCAAGUCGAGCGGAGAUGAGGUGCUUGCACCUUAUCUUAGCGGCGGACGGGUGAGUAAUGCUUAGGAAUCUGCCUAUUAGUGGGGGACAACAUUCCGAAAGGAAUGCUAAUACCGCAUACGUCCUACGGGAGAAAGCAGGGGAUCUUCGGACCUUGCGCUAAUAGAUGAGCCUAAGUCGGAUUAGCUAGUUGGUGGGGUAAAGGCCUACCAAGGCGACGAUCUGUAGCGGGUCUGAGAGUAUGAUCCGCCACACUGGGACUGAGACACGGCCCAGACUCCUACGGGAGGCAGCAGUGGGGAAUAUUGGACAAUGGGGGGAACCCUGAUCCAGCCAUGCCGCGUGUGUGAAGAAGGCCUUAUGGUUGUAAAGCACUUUAAGCGAGGAGGAGGCUACCUGGAUUAAUACUCUAGGAUAGUGGACGUUACUCGCAGAAUAAGCACCGGCUAACUCUGUGCCAGCCGCCGCAGUAACAC
rnacentral:rRNA from 1 species